AGGAGCUAAGUGGAAAGCAAGCCUUUUAGACACCAACCUCAUUUUCAUAGGUUUACCUGGUAAAACUCUGGGUAAGGGAAAACUCAAGAUGUAAAGAAUACAGCAGUACUCCAUUAUGUGGCUCAGAAGUUAGUGUUAGUUUUAGCUAGUACACAAACUGCAGAAAAGCAAAAUGAGAGAAAACAACAGAUCACCUAAAUUUUAAUACCAUUAAAUUCUGAAGUAUAAGGCAGCAGGUCAAGAGGAAAGCCUGCUCCAUAGCCCAUGGUGGCUGUGCAAGAGAUCAUCAAAGGAUAGCCUUGUUUGUAAGACCGGGCUAUCGCUGGCCAACUCCCCCUACCCCGUCACCAGCCUGCACUUCUUAGGAAAGCUCAUCCUUUCCAGAUAUCAUGUAGAAACAGCCCAAACUCCCAAUCUUCAACCAUUUUUGACCUGUAAAGAUGACAAAAGCUCUUAUGGUCAACCUGAUAUAUUAUUAUUCUGUAAGCCUCUACUUAGAACGCAGAUAUUAAAUACUUUGCUAUAAAGAA